rnacentral:rRNA from 1 species
CACGUAGGGGGCGAGCGUUGUCCGGAUUCAUUGGGCGUAAAGGGCGCGUAGGCGGGCCAGCAUGUCCGGGGUGAAAUCUUUCGGCUUAACCGGAAGAGGGCUUCGGAAACGGCUGGUCUUGAGGGAGGUAGGGGCAGGUGGAACUUCCGGUGGAGCGGUGAAAUGCGUUGAGAUCAGAAGGAACGCCGGUGGCGAAAGCGACCUGCUGGACCUCUUCUGACGCUGAGGCGCGAAAGCCAGGGGAGCAAACGGG